rnacentral:rRNA from 1 species
CUACGGAGGGUGCGAGCGUUAAUCGGAAUUACUGGGCGUAAAGCGUACGUAGGCGGUUUGCUAAGUCAGAUGUGAAAGCCCCGGGCUUAACCUGGGAACUGCAUUUGAUACUGGCAGACUAGAGUAUGAUAGAGGGGGGUAGAAUUCCUGGUGUAGCGGUGAAAUGCGUAGAUAUCAGGAGGAAUACCAGUGGCGAAGGCGGCCCCCUGGAUCAAUACUGACGCUGAGGUACGAAAGCGUGGGGAGCGAACAGGAUUAGAAACCCUAGUAGUCC